rnacentral:rRNA from 1 species
AAGCAUAUCAGUAAGCGGUGGAAAGCAAACUAAACAGGAUUCUCUUAGUAACUGCGAGUGAACAGAGAUUAGCCCAACAUCGAAGCCACCAUGCAUUUGUAUGGGAGGCAAUGUGAUGUUUUGGUGUUUGAACGCACUGUCUGGCUAACUUGAAGUCCAUAUUUGACUGUGGCUUGUAUUUAUACACCCAGAGAUGGUGAUAGGCCCGUUCAGGUUGGUAUUCUGGCAUGACAGUUCAGUGUGUAAUCAUUCAUCAUAGAGUCGGAUUGCUUGAGAGUGCAGUCCAAAAUGGGUGGUAAACUCCAUCUAAGGCUAAAUACCUGUACGAGUCCGAUAGUCAACAAGUACCGUGAGGGAAAGUUGAAAAGUACUCUGAAGAGAGAGUAAAUAGUACGUGAAACCACAUGGAGGUUAAACAAAUAGAGUCAAGCUGCUUGCAUCAUAUCAUUGCAAUAUGCGCAUUUUGUUGCAUGACAUUUGCCGGGACCUGGCGUGUGAUUCUGUCUACUUGUAGGCAUUUGAACAUGUGUUUGUUGUUUGAAAGGUCUCGGUGAGUGUCUGCGCUUAUUGUUCAUGAUGGGUGCUAAUGCCAUAGUCGGUUGUACUACCAGUGCGCAGUAAUCGGCGAUUGUGCGGGCUGACUUAUUGUCGUUCGUGCAAUCAGUGAAACAGUUGGCAACAGUGUGUGCUUGCAUUCGCUUUUGUCAAAGAAGGCCACGGCCUGUUGAUUACUGUGAACAUUGUGAGAGUCGACCGUUCAUAUGUGCUCAUAUAAUUUGUGGUAGUAAGUCGACUUGUCGACUACUUCCAUAAAUGAGCUUAUGAGCUAUGGUAUUGUGGUAGACUUUCUAUUUGACCCGUCUUGAAACACGGACCAAGGAGUUCAACUGUGUCGCAAGUCAAGAAGCGUAAAACCUUCAUGGCGUAAUAAAUGUGAAACAUGAUAGUGUGAUCCGUGUGGCUUUGUAAUGAGGCUGCGCGGCGCAACACUGGCCCGUCCUUAUUUGUGCGUGGUGUGUACCAUGUAGCAAGGGGGCGGAGCAUGAGCGACACAGUUGAGACCCGAAAGAUGGUGAGCUAUGCUUGCAUAGGUUGAAGCCAGAGGAAACUCUGGUGGAAGACCGUAACGAUUCUGACGUGCAAAUCGAUCGUUGAAUGUGAGCAUAGGGGCGAAAGACCAAUCGAACCAUCUAGUAGCUGGUUCCCUCCGAAGUUUCCCUCAGGAUAGCUAGUACUCAGUACCUCACUUUUAUCCGGUAAAGCGAAUGAUAAGCGGUGCCGGGGAAAAAUUUUCCUCAACCUAUUCUCAAACUUUAAAUGGGUAAGAUGUCCGUCUCGCAUCAUUAGAGUCGGGCAUCGAAUGUGAGUACUAAGUGGGCCAUUUUUGGUAAGCAGAACUGGCGCUGUGGGAUGAACCAAACGUGUUGUUAGAGUGCCUAACACUAACGCUCAUGAGAUACCACAAAAGGUGUUGAUGCAUUUAGACAGCAGGACGGUGGCCAUAAAAGUCGGAAUCCGCUAAGGAGUGUGUAACGACUCACCUGCCGAAUGCAUCA